GACGUAGGGUGCGAGCGUUGUCCGGAUUUAUUGGGCGUAAAGAGCUCGUAGGCGGCUCGUCGCGUCGACCGUGAAAACUUGGGGCUUAACCCUAAGCUUGCGGUUGAUACUGGGGAUCUCGAGUCCGGAAGAGGUGAGUGGAACUCCGAGUGUAGAGGUGAAAUUCGUAGAUAUUCGGAAGAACACCAGUGGCGAAGGCGGCUCACUGGUCCGGUACUGACGCUGAGACGCGAAAGCGUGGGGAGCAAACAGG
rnacentral:rRNA from 1 species